CAGACAGACAGACAGGCAGACAGAGAGACAGAGAGACAGACAGACAGGCAGACAGACAGACAGACAGACACAACGCCACGGUGACGCACAUUCAUCACACAAUUUGAUCAGAAACUUGAUUCUUUCAAAUUUAGUCUCAAUAACCAACGAAUAUAGUUUGUCAAUAUUUCCUUAUGUUCAUAUUGUUAUGACGUGUUUAUCUGUCGACGAUUAGAAUCAUGUGACCUCAGGUGACACAGACUGAUCGUGUCAGUGACGGACGAUGGAUCCAGGAAGUUCGUCACAAACUGGUUUUCAAUGUCAAGCGACCAGUUGCUUCUGUCCGACUGCAGCUGAUGGAUCAACAUGCAGGACGGGCAGCGGGUUGACUGAGCGCUGAUCGAUGCUCUUGAUCAGCUGGAGGAAGAACAGCUGAUCGAUGCUCCUGAUCAGCUGGAGGAAGAACAGCUGAUCGAUGCUCCUGAUCAGCUGGAGGAAGAACAGCUGAUCGAUGCUCCUGAUCAGCUGGAGGAAGAACAGCUGAUCGAUGCUCCUGAUCAGCUGGAGGAAGAACAGCUGAUCGAUGCUCCUGAUCAGCUGGAGGAAGAACAGCUGAUCGAUGCUCCUGAUCAGCUGGAGGAGCAGCAGUCGUCUGCAGUGACAUCACUGCUUAGGUCACCAAUGACCAUGAAUACAGGAAGUGAUUGGGCUCCUCCCCCUUUCGUUCCUGGGACACAUGGUGUUUCAGAGUUUGGACGCUGGCGGCUGCUGAUUGGUCGGCGCUGCAGUGAUCGGCACGGGUCGACCCCAGAGCCGCAGCCGGCUGACGCCUCCAUCCGGGGCGAUGAUGAGGCGAACGUGGCUGACGGCCCGGGGCGGCGCCAGCACGGCCUCGCCGUAGAGAUGCCUGUGAUGAGGGCGGAGCUGCACCGGAGACAGAGAGUGUGGAAAUCUGAUGAUGUCACGAAGAGAAAUGACAUCACAGGCGCUGGGACACCUACUUUCUGAGGGGGGAGGAGCAUCUGCCACGUCCCAGACCUCCACCUGGUCCCGACGCACCGGACCUCGUCCUCAGGGGUCAGAGUGCACGCCUCCACCCUGCAGGAGUCCGGGAAGUUACCUGGACGAACAGACAGUGGUCAAAGUUCACGGUCGGUGGGACCUGAUCAAAACAAAAAGCAGCCGAGACGUCUCUGCACCUUUGAAGUGGUUGGUGUCGACCUCGACGCUGCUGACGACUCCGGGACGGCCGAGGCGGAACACGGCCCACUCCUCGCCGGGGACCUGCAGGAUCCCCCGCUGGUCCACCUGCAAGACGAGCAGCAGGGACACAUUCAAACUGCAAACUUUAUUUACAAUCAGACGGCGUCUCAGGAAGCUGACGACGGGUUGAGAUCGAACCUUCAGCUCUUUGGGUCUGUCCAGCCGGCGAGCCGUCUCCCAUCCGUCGGCCAUGUUGGCAGCUCGACCGAGGCCUGAAAUCACAUGACACCGCUGACACGCCCAGUCUGACGGGAGCUGUCACUCACUGUGUUUCCAAUGACAACACCAAUAAAGAUUUUUGUAAAAAGCUCAUGUCCAACCAAUCAUGUUGCGUGGGUGGCCAAAGUGGGCGUCACUGUAGCCAAGGCAGACUCCCCCAUUGGUCAGAGCCACCAGGUCCACAUCCUGGUGGGUGGAGUCAGACGACCAGUCUCUCUGCCCGACGCCAUAAACCCGCAGUCUGGAUAUCCCUCCAUCUGGGGACGCACACGUCCUGUCAAACGCGCGUGCGUGCGUGCGUGCGUGCGUGCGUGCGUGUGUGUGUGUGUGUACCUGGAUGCAUGUUGAGGCGCAGAUGUGUGACUCUGUGGUUGAAGUCGACCUUGAAGUAGUUAUGGCAACAGUCCGUGUAUCCAGGCUUCAGCUCGGACACACCCACCAGCUCCGGCCACGCCUCCGAGCCCAGCUGUCAAUCAGGCCACACGUCAACAUGUCAUGUCAAUCAGUCAUAUUGUCAUGGUGAGCUGGUUGUGUGUUUGUGUAUAUAUAUAUAUA